AGGCCAGACUCCUACGGGAGGCAGCAGUGGGGAAUAUUGGGCAAUGGGCGCAAGCCUGACCCAGCAACGCCGCGUGAAGGAAGAAGGCUUUCGGGUUGUAAACUUCUUUUAAGAGGGACGAAACAAAUGACGGUACCUCUUGAAUAAGCCACGGCUAACUACGUGCCAGCAGCCGCGGUAAUACGUAGGUGGCAAGCGUUAUCCGGAUUUAUUGGGUGUAAAGGGCGUGUAGGCGAGAAAGCAAGUCAGAUGUGAAAACUAUGGGCUCAACCCAUAGCCUGCAUUUGAAACUGUUUUUCUUGAGUGCUGGAGAGGCAAUCGGAAUUCCGUGUGUAGCGGUGAAAUGCGUAGAUAUACGGAGGAACACCAGUGGCGAAGGCGGCCUGCUGGGCUUUUACUGACGCUGAGGCUCGAAAGUGUGGGGAGCAAACAGGAUUAGAUACCCCGGUACGG
rnacentral:rRNA from 1 species